rnacentral:rRNA from 1 species
UACGGGGGGGGCAAGCGUUGUUCGGAAUUACUGGGCGUAAAGGGCUCGUAGGUGGCCAACUAAGUCAGACGUGAAAUCCCUCAGCUUAACUGGGGAACUGCGUCUGAUACUGGAUGGCUUGAGUUUGGGAGAGGGAUGCGGAAUUCCAGGUGUAGCGGUGAAAUGCGUAGGUAUCUGGAGGAACACCGGUGGCGAAGGCGGCAUCCUGGACCAACACUGACACUGAGGAGCGAAAGCCAGGGGAGCAAACGGG